rfam:Corchorus capsularis cultivar CVL-1 contig12455, whole genome shotgun sequence.
GUGACAGAAGAGAGUGAGCACACAUAGUUCUUUCUUGCAUGAGUAUUGUAUCGUGCUUGAAACUUUAUGUGCUUGCUCUUUUCUGUCAC